rnacentral:rRNA from 1 species
GAAUUCGCCCUUAGAGUUUGAUCCUGGCUCAGGACGAACGCUGGCGGCGCGCCUAACACAUGCAAGUCGAACGAGCGAGAGAGAGCUUGCUUUCUCGAGCGAGUGGCGAACGGGUGAGUAACGCGUGAGGAACCUGCCUCAAAGAGGGGGACAACAGUUGGAAACGACUGCUAAUACCGCAUAAGCCCACGGCUCGGCAUCGAGCAGAGGGAAAAGGAGCAAUCCGCUUUGAGAUGGCCUCGCGUCCGAUUAGCUAGUUGGUGAGGUAACGGCCCACCAAGGCAACGAUCGGUAGCCGGACUGAGAGGUUGAACGGCCACAUUGGGACUGAGACACGGCCCAGACUCCUACGGGAGGCAGCAGUGGGGAAUAUUGCACAAUGGGGGAAACCCUGAUGCAGCGACGCCGCGUGGAGGAAGAAGGUCUUCGGAUUGUAAACUCCUGUUGUUGGGGAAGAUAAUGACGGUACCCAACAAGGAAGUGACGGCUAACUACGUGCCAGCAGCCGCGGUAAAACGUAGGUCACAAGCGUUGUCCGGAAUUACUGGGUGUAAAGGGAGCGCAGGCGGGAAGACAAGUUGGAAGUGAAAUCUAUGGGCUCAACCCAUAAACUGCUUUCAAAACUGUUUUUCUUGAGUAGUGCAGAGGUAGGCGGAAUUCCCGGUGUAGCGGUGGAAUGCGUAGAUAUCGGGAGGAACACCAGUGGCGAAGGCGGCCUACUGGGCACCAACUGACGCUGAGGCUCGAAAGUGUGGGUAGCAAACAGGAUUAGAUACCCUGGUAGUCCACACCGUAAACGAUGAUUACUAGGUGUUGGAGGAUUGACCCCUUCAGUGCCGCAGUUAACACAAUAAGUAAUCCACCUGGGGAGUACGACCGCAAGGUUGAAACUCAAAGGAAUUGACGGGGGCCCGCACAAGCAGUGGAGUAUGUGGUUUAAUUCGACGCAACGCGAAGAACCUUACCAAGUCUUGACAUCCCUUGACAGGCAUAGAAAUAUGUUUUCUCUUCGGAGCAAGGAGUCAGGUGGUGCAUGGUUGUCGUCAGCUCGUGUCGUGAGAUGUUGGGUUAAGUCCCGCAACGAGCGCAACCCUUAUGGUCAGUUACUACGCAAGAGGACUCUGGCCAGACUGCCGUUGACAAAACGGAGGAAGGUGGGGAUGACGUCAAAUCAUCAUGCCCUUUAUGACUUGGGCUACACACGUACUACAAUGGCGUUAAACAAAGAGAAGCAAGACCGCGAGGUGGAGCAAAACUCAGAAACAACGUCCCAGUUCGGACUGCAGGCUGCAACUCGCCUGCACGAAGUCGGAAUUGCUAGUAAUCGUGGAUCAGCAUGCCACGGUGAAUACGUUCCCGGGCCUUGCACACACCGCCCGU